rnacentral:rRNA from 1 species
AUUGAACGCUGGCGGCAGGCUUAACACAUGCAAGUCGAGCGGGGUGAUGGUGCUUGCACUAUCACUUAGCGGCGGACGGGUGAGUAAUGCUUAGGAAUCUGCCUAUUAGUGGGGGACAACAUCUCGAAAGGGAUGCUAAUACCGCAUACGUCCUACGGGAGAAAGCAGGGGAUCACUUGUGACCUUGCGCUAAUAGAUGAGCCUAAGUCGGAUUAGCUAGUUGGUGGGGUAAAGGCCUACCAAGGCGACGAUCUGUAGCGGGUCUGAGAGGAUGAUCCGCCACACUGGGACUGAGCCACGGCCCAGACUCCUACGGGAGGCAGCAGUGGGGAAUGUUGGACAAUGGGGGGAACCCUGAUCCAGCCUUGCCGCGUGUGUGAAGAAGGCCUUAUGGUUGUAAAGCACUUUAAGCGAGGAGGAGGCUCUUUUGGUUAAUACCCAAGAUGAGUGGACGUUACUCGCAGAAUAAGCACCGGCUAACUCUGUGCCAGCCGCCGCCGUAA